rnacentral:lncRNA from 1 species
GCCUGAGCUGAGUCCGGUGGCUGCGGAGGGGAGAGCAGAGCACACGGGUGGAGCAGUAAGAGGAUUGUGAGAGACCAAGAGGUGUGAUAGGCAUCGCAUCACUGGCAACAUCGUGCUGUAUCUUCUAUUCUCUAAUGUCCUCAGCACUGUCUUUUCAGCCAUGCCAAUGAGCAGAAAGCUUCUUGCCUGCCUACAAUGUCAUUUUAUGAAGUCAGGGCAAAAAUCUGUGAGCUUUUGUUCAAAUAAAU